AUUUUAAAAAAGUGAAAAAUAAUUUCCGGACUAUUAAAAAAAAAAAUAAUCAAACAAAAAUAAACUAAAUUACACUAAAAAUGAUUCUCAAAAUAAGAUACAGGAUCCGCUGAUCCUUGUUUCUGUACAGGCCUGUUCCACAGAUGGAUGAAAGGAGAGGAAGAUACCUCCAGGCACCCACACCCACACCACCACACCGCACGCACACAUUCGCAAUCGAACUCGAACUCGUCAACGCUUUUGCACAACUAUACUAUUGCAGGAUGGAACCGGCCGAAGGCACAGGGGAUGGCAUCCUGGACAAGAGCUUCAUUGGGCAGAUAAACCAAGAAGCGAACUAUAAGCAGCCUCUACCUUGGUAUUGAAGGCUCUGCUGUCGAUGCCAUCGGCACAGGAUCCGCUGAUCCUUGUUUCUGUACAGGCCUCUUCCACAGAUGGAUGAAAGGAGAGGAAGAUACCUCCAGGCACCCACACCCACACCACCACACCGCACGCACACAUUCGCAAUCGAACUCGAACUCGAACUCGUCGCUUUUGCACAACUAUACUAUUGCAGGAUGGAACCGGCCGAAGGCACAGGGGAUUGCAUCCUGGACAAGAGCUUCAUUGGGCAGAUAAACCAAGAAGCGAACUAUAAGCAGCCUCUACCUUGGUAUUGAAGGCUCUGCUGUCGAUGGCAUCGGCACUCGACACUGUGGGCUCUGGUCUCGGCUCUGAAUAUCGUGGAUCACAUUAAGAAACAACAACAAAUCAACAGGGAUUAUUGCCAGCACAGAACACCAAUCGACACAUUUUAUCGACUUUGUUUA